CAGAUCAAGGUAGACGCUGGUCACGUGAUCUCCAAGAUAGUUAAUUAGAAAUCUGCUGGAUUUUAGCAGAUCACGUGACCAGCGUCUACCAGGGUUUU